rnacentral:lncRNA from 1 species
UUAAACGUGAAAGUGCGAAAAUCUUUAGAAAUCAAAAAGUAAAAAAUCAAAAAGGGACAGUAGAUACUCGAGUAAUGGCCUAAUAAUAACGGAUAGGGCUCUUGGGCUAUGGAGAAAUUUAAUUAGGACACCCAAAGGAUUUCAUAAAAGACUUAACAAGUAUAAAUUAAUUAUUUGGUGGACUUUUUCUUUAAUUUUUUUUAUAUUAAAUAGUAAUUGAAAAAGGCUAAGAUAUUGCUCAAUUGCAUAUGUUUAAUUAAAGAAGAAGGCCAAAAAACAAAACUAAAGAAACUAAUUCUUUUAUAUUCAAAAGUGAAAAAAAAAAAAAAAAACUGUACCAGAUUAAAUCUUCCUUUUGAAUAGUAUAGCCGCGCGGCUAUACUAUUUAUAUAUUAAAAAAGGACAAGCACAAAGCACAGGUGCCACGUGUUUUUAAAAAAAAUUGGGGAAAGGGAGUAUAGCCGCGCGGCUAUACUAUUUAUAUAUUAAAAAAGGACGCGCACAAUGCACAGGUGCCACGUGUUUAAAAAAAAAUGGGGGAGAGUGAGUAUCGCCGCGCGGCUAUACUAUGUUUAAAUAGAAAAUUAAGGAAGAAUCUAGUAUAGCCGAUCGGCUGUACUAUUUAUAGACCCGCCCAUAGCCUAUGAGCCACGUGUCAAACAGGUACAGCCGGGCAGCUGUAGUAUUUAUAUUUCAAAAUUUUUAAAAACGAGUAUAGCCGCACGGCUAUACUAUUUUUUUAAAAAACAAUUAGGUGCUUUUUCAAAUACAUAUUAUUUUUAUUCAAUAAUAUGUUAGAAUUAUGUGUAUAACACGUGAAUUUUGUGUCUUAUUGAAAUUUUUGUAAAAAACAAGUGUAUUAAACAUGAGAAAUACGUGCGUACGUGUAUAAUACAUCAUUAAACGUGAAAGUGCGAAAAUCUUUAGAAAUCAAAAAGUAAAAAAUCAAAAAGGGACAGUAGAUACUCGAGUAAUGGCCUAAUAAUAACGGAUAGGGCUCUUGGGCUAUGGAGAAAUUUAAUUAGGACACCCAAAGGAUUUCAUAAAAGACUUAACAAGUAUAAAUUAAUUAUUUGGUGGACUUGUUCUUUAAUUUUUUUAUAUUAAAUAGUAAUUGAAAAAGGCUAAUAUAUUGCUCAAUUGCAUAUGUUUAAUUAAAGAAGAAGGCCAAAAAACAAAACUAAAGAAACUAAUUCUUUUAUAUUCAAAAGUGAAAAAAAAAAAAAAAAAAAAACUGUACCAGAUUAAAUCUUCCUUUUGAAUAGUAUAGCCGAGCGGCUAUACUAUUUAUAUAUUAAAAAAGGACAAGCACAAAGCACAGGUGCCACGUGUUUUUAAAAAAAAUUGGGGAAAGGGAGUAUAGCCGCGCGGCUAUACUAUUUAUAUAUUAAAAAAGGACGCGCACAAUGCACAGGUGCCACGUGUUUAAAAAAAAAUGGGGGGAGAGUGAGUAUAGCCGCGCGGCUAUACUAUGUUUAAAUAGAAAAUUAAGGAAGAAUCUAGUAUAGCCGAGCGGCUGUACUAUUUAUAGACCCGCCCAUAGCCUAUGAGCCACGUGUCAAACAGGUACAGCCGGGCAGCUGUACUAUUUAUAUUUCAAAAUUUUUAAAAACGAGUAUAGCCGCACGGCUAUACCAUUUUUUUAAAAAACAAUUAGGUGCUUUUUCAAAUACAUAUUAUUUUUAUUCAAUAAUAUGUUAGAAUUAUGUGUAUAACACGUGAAUUUUGUGUCUUAUUGAAAUUUUUGUAAAAAACAAGUGUAUUAAACAUGAGAAAUACGUGCGUACUUGUAUAAUACAUCAUUAAACGUGAAAGUGCGAAAAUCUUUAGAAAUCAAAAAGUAAAAAAUCAAAAAGGGACAGUAGAUACUCGAGUAAUGGCCUAAUAAUAACGGAUAGGGCUCUUGGGCUAUGGAGAAAUUUAAUUAGGACACCCAAAGGAUUUCAUAAAAGACUUAACAAGUACAAAUCAAUUAUUUGGUGGACUUUUUCUUUAAUUUUUUAUAUUAAAUAGUAAUUGAAAAAGGCUAAGAUAUUGCUCAAUUGCAUAUGUUUAAUUAAAGAAGAAGGCCAAAAAACAAAACUAAAGAAACUAAUUCUUUUAUAUUCAAAAGUGAAAAAAAAAAAAAAAAAAAAAACUGUACCAGAUUAAAUCUUCCUUUUGAAUAGUAUAGCCGCGCGGCUAUACUAUUUAUAUAUUAAAAAAGGACAAGCACAAAGCACAG